CAAUGAAGGAACCUCAAAAGUUCUUCAAAACUUGACUGUGACAGAGCCUAGUUGUAACCAUCUUGGGUCCUUCCCAGCUCCUCUCACCAGGCACCCUUUUGGGGAACACCACCAUUUGGAGGCUACACAAUGAGUCAGUCAGGAGAAAAGACGAGUGAAAUGACGAAUAGUUGACUUGGCCCAACCCCUGCAAGUGUUCAAAGGCCAAUCUGGAUGUGGCUGUGGGCAGACAGGUUCAUUUCACAGUCUAGUAAUAUCCACAUGCAAGUGCAAGAAGAAAGCCUUGGAUUCCAAAGCUCUGGAGAUGAAUCCAUGUUCUUCAGUUCUCCUUAGUCUUCUACAUACUUGGAUAUAAACCAAAAAUUCUUUCCUUCAGUAAGCAUGUAAAUGAAUUUCCCCCAGUGUGUCAUCUCAA